CAACACUGACCGGAAAGCUACAGGACAACUGACUGCAGACUGAGACCUUUGAAGCCAGAACGAAACAAGUACUACUACUGCAAUACGAACUUUAUCACAUAAUUGGAAGAAUUUGCAGGUCUUGGCACCAGGAGGUGAAAGUCUAAUUUCAUUCUACAGAAGGCAAGGGAGAG